rnacentral:rRNA from 1 species
GACGAACGCUGGCGGCGCGCCUAACACAUGCAAGUCGAACGGAGCUGAGAGAAGCUUGCUUUUCUUAGCUUAGUGGCGAACGGGUGAGUAACGCGUGAGUAACCUGCCCUGGAGUGGGGGACAACAGUUGGAAACGACUGCUAAUACCGCAUAAGCCCACGAUCCGGCAUCGGAUUGAGGGAAAAGGAUUUAUUCGCUUCAGGAUGGACUCGCGUCCAAUUAGCUCGUUGGUGAGGUAACGGCCCACCAAGGCACCGAUUGGUAGCCGGACUGAGAGGUUGAACCGGCACAUUUGGACUGAGACACGGCCCAGACUCCUACGGGAGGCAGCAGUGGGGGAUAUUGCACAAUGGGGCAAACCCUGAUGCAGCGACGCCGCGUGGAGGAAGAAGGUUUUCGGAUUGUAAACUCCUGUCGUUAGGGACGAUAAUGACGGUACCUAACAAGAAAGCACCGGCUAACUACGUG